AUCAUUAAUGAAACAAGCACGCUCGGGCGAGGUUGUUGCUGGCGUGCUAGCCACGCAUGUGCACGCCCCGCUCGUGUCGUCUCGCCGGGGGGGGGAUUUAAUUCCCCCCCGGCAACACACCUCACACACAACCUGUCUUAACCGAAUGUCAUUUGCGUAAACGCAACCUAAAAACAACUUUUAACAACGGAUCUCUUGGUUCUCGCAUCGAUGAAGAACGCAGCGAAAUGCGAUAAGUAAUGUGAAUUGCAGAAUUCAGUGAAUCAUCGAAUCUUUGAACGCACCUUGCGCUCCUUGGUAUUCCGAGGAGCAUGCCCGUUUGAGUGUCGUGAUAUCAUCAAGCCCAAACCCCUCGGGGUCUACGCUUGGACUUGGAUGUGCUGCCGGACGGCGACGCCUGGCUCAUCCCAAAUGCAUUAGCUGGACUUGUUUUCCCCCCUCUGGGCUUUGGACUUUUGUUCUCACUCGGCGUGAUAAGGUCACCCGUCGAGGACGUCCCUUGCCUGUCGUGGGAUCCGGCUUCGAACCGUCCCCCCGGACAAAUCACUUUGACAAUCUGACCUCAAAUCGGGUAGGACUACCCGCUGAACUUAAGCAUAUCAAUAAGC
rnacentral:rRNA from 1 species